GCAAACUUGGUCAUUUAGAGGAAGUAAAAGUCGUAACAAGGUUUCCGUAGGUGAACCUGCGGAAGGAUCAUUAGUGAGUAACUGGAACUGCCCCUUGUGGGUGUUCUGCACACUUAUUCUAACUACUGCUAUUUCUUAACUUGUUGCUUUGACAUCUCGGUGUCAAAGGAUACAUAAUAUCUUAGUAUGUUCCAAUGGAAGAGUAAGUCGAAUGUAGUUUUAUUUAAUAAAAACAAAACUUUCAACAACGGAUCUCUUGGUUCUGGCAUCGAUGAAGAACGCAGC
rnacentral:misc_RNA from 1 species